GAGUUUGAUUCUGGCUCAGGAUGAACGCUGGCGGCGUGCUUAACACAUGCAAGACGAACGAAGCGGGAAGAAAGAAGUUUUUCGAAAUGGAUUUUUUCUUUGCUUAGUGGCGGACGGGUGCGUAACACGUAGGUAACCUGCCCUGUGCUUGGGAAUAACUCCGGGAAACCGGUGCUAAUGCCGAAUAAUAUCGCCUGUCGGCAUCGAGAGGCGAUCAAAGAAUUUCGGCACAGGAUGGGCCUUCGCCGGAUUAGCUGGUUGGUGAGGUAACGGCUCACCAAGGCGACGAUCCGUAGCCGACCUGAGAGGGUGAUCGGCCACACUGGAACUGAGACACGGUCCAGACUCCUACGGGAGGCAGCAGUGGGGAAUAUUGCACAAUGGGGGAAACCCUGAUGCAGCAACGCCGCGUGAGCGAUGAAGGCUUUCGAGUCGUAAAGCUCUGUCCUAUGGGAA
rnacentral:rRNA from 1 species